rnacentral:rRNA from 1 species
GACAGAGGGGGCUAGCGUUGCUCGGAAUCACUGGGCGUAAAGGGUGCGUAGGCGGGUCUUUAAGUCAGGGGUGAAAUCCUGGAGCUCAACUCCAGAACUGCCUUUGAUACUGGCGAUCUCGAGUCCGGGAGAGGUGAGUGGAAUUCCUGGUGUAGCGGUGAAAUGCGCAGAUAUCAGGAAGAACACCAAUGGCGAAGGCAGCUCUCUGGGACGGUACUGACGCUGAGACGCGAAAGCGUGGGGAGCGAACAGG